UACGAAGGGGGCUAGCGUUGCUCGGAAUCACUGGGCGUAAAGGGUGCGUAGGCGGGUCUUUAAGUCAGGGGUGAAAUCCUGGAGCUCAACUCCAGAACUGCCUUUGAUACUGAGGAUCUUGAGUCCGGGAGAGGUGAGUGGAACUGCGAGUGUAGAGGUGAAAUUCGUAGAUAUUCGCAAGAACACCAGUGGCGAAGGCGGCUCACUGGCCCGGUACUGACGCUGAGGUGCGAAAGCCAGGGGAGCAAACGGG
rnacentral:rRNA from 1 species